UGGGGAAUAUUGGACAAUGGGCCACAAGCCUGAUCCAGCAAUUCUGUGUGCACGAUGAAGGUCUUCGGAUUGUAAAGUGCUUUCAGUUGGGAAGAAGAAAGUGACGGUACCAACAGAAGAAGCGACGGCUAAAUACGUGCCAGCAGCCGCGGUAAUACGUAUGUCGCAAGCGUUAUCCGGAUUUAUUGGGCGUAAAGCGCGUCUAGGCGGAAAAAUAAGUCUGAUGUUAAAAUGCGGGGCUCAACUCCGUAUUGCGUUGGAAACUGUUUUUCUAGAGUACUGGAGAGGUGGGCGGAACUACAAGUGUAGAGGUGAAAUUCGUAGAUAUUUGUAGGAAUGCCGAUGGAGAAGUCAGCUCACUGGACAGAUACUGACGCUAAAGCGCGAAAGCGUGGGGAGC
rnacentral:rRNA from 1 species